rnacentral:rRNA from 1 species
GGUUAAAAAGCUCGUAGUUGGAUUUCUGUCGAGGGCGGGCGGUCCGCACUAUGUGCGUGUAUCUUGUUCGGUCUUGGCAUCCUCUUGGGGAAUGCUUCUGUGCUUGAUUGCAUGGGGUGGAAUUCAAGACUUUUACUUUGAGGAAAUUAGAGUGUUCACGGCAAGCUACCGCUUUGAAUACAUUAGCAUGGAAUAAUAAUAUAGGGCGUAAGUUCUAUUUUGUUGGUUUCUAGGACAUACGCAAUGAUUAAUAGGGACAAUUGGGGGCAUUCGUAUUAACGCGUCAGAGGUGGAAUUCUUAGAUUGCGUUACGACGAACUACUGCGAAAGCAUUUGCCAAAGAUGUUUUCAUUGAUCAAGAACGAAAGUAUGGGGAUCGAAGACGAUUAGAUACCGUCGUAGUCUAUACCAUAAACUAUGCCAAUUAGAGAUUGGGCGUCGUUCGUUUUAUGACUCGCUCAGCACCUUAUGAGAAAUCAAAAUUUUUGGGUUCCGGGGGGAGCAUGGUCGCAAGUCUGAAACUUAAAGGAAUUGACGGAAGGGCACCACCAGGAGUGGAGCCUGCGGCUUAAUUUGACUCAACACGGGAAAACUUACCAGGUCCAGACAUAGUAAGGAUUGACAGAUUGAUAGCUCUUUCUCGACUCUAU